GCCCGCCUAGCUCAAUCGGAUAGAGCGUCAGACUUUUACGAUGUAGGCGUAGGGCGAUCUGAAGGCUGCGAGUUCGACCCUCGCGGUGGGCU
rnacentral:tRNA from 1 species